CUUGCCUGUGAAGUUGUUGCAAGUGUGGCUGCUGUCACAUGUGGGUCACUAGGUAGAUGAGAGAAGUUAUGUCUAUGUUCAGUGUUCUGACCUAUGAGCAUCUGAAUGAUUGGUAGCCUAAUAUU
rnacentral:snoRNA from 1 species